UUGAAAAAACCACACUGUCGUUACCGUGUUUCAAAAUUGAGCUUUCGCAAGAAUUUUCCAAGUUGACCAUCAUCAUCAACCAUCUGAACCAUACAUACAUGUAUAUAAAGGGAAUAGAGAGAGUGUCUUUGUAUAUAUGCACGAAAAUAAGUAGUAGUAGAAAAUGAAAUUCUGUUCAAUCAUUAUUAGCUAUAUGUUACUCUUUCUCCUUCUUGUAUUUGUAUCAUUGCCCAGUAUCUACGUGCCACAAAAAUGUUUCAGCCCUACAGAUGAUCAUUAUAAUCAUCGUUUGAUCAUUACCCGAAAAUUGAGAAGACAACUGAUCAUCGGGCCGCCAUCUCCUAAGAAAGCAGUUCCUCCUGGUGCUGGAUACAAAUAAUCAAUACAGCUUGUAACUUUAUUAAAUCUAUUAUAUGUUUUUACUUCGUCUUUAACACUUGGAAAAUCAGGUACUGAAGAAUAAAAGCUUCUAAUAAAUCAGUUUUUACUUCAUUUUCCA